UACGUAGGUGGCAAGCGUUGUCCGGAUUUAUUGGGUUUAAAGGGUGCGUAGGCGGCUUAUUAAGUCAGUGGUGAAAUACUCUAGCUCAACUAGAGGGGUGCCAUUGAUACUGAUGAGCUUGAGUACAGAUGAGGUAGGCGGAAUUGACGGUGUAGCGGUGAAAUGCUUAGAUAUCGUCAAGAACACCUAUAGCGAAAGGCAGCUUACUAGGCUGUAACUGACGCUGGAGGCACGAAAGUGUGGGGAUCAAACAGG
rnacentral:rRNA from 1 species